rnacentral:rRNA from 1 species
UACGUAGGUGGCAAGCGUUGUCCGGAUUUAUUGGGUUUAAAGGGUGCGUAGGCGGCUUUGUAAGUCAGUGGUGAAAUAUGGCAGCUCAACUGUCAAGGUGCCAUUGAUACUGCGGAGCUUGAGUACAGAUGAGGUAGGCGGAAUUGACGGUGUAGCGGUGAAAUGCUUAGAUAUCGUCAAGAACACCUAUAGCGAAGGCAGCUUACUAGGCUGUAACUGACGCUGAGGCACGAAAAGUGUGGGGGAGUCAAAACAGG